rnacentral:rRNA from 1 species
AUUGAACGCUGGCGGCAGGCCUAACACAUGCAAGUCGAGCGGGGUUUUCGGACCUAGCGGCGGACGGGUGAGUAAUGCGUAGGAAGCUGCCCGAUAGAGGGGGAUACCAGUUGGAAACGACUGUUAAUACCGCAUAAUGUCUACGGACCAAAGUGUGGGACCUUCGGGCCACAUGCUAUCGGAUGCGCCUACGUGGGAUUAGCUAGUUGGCGAGGUAAUGGCUCACCAAGGCGACGAUCUCUAGCUGGUUUGAGAGGAUGAUCAGCCAUACUGGAACUGAGACACGGUCCAGACUCCUACGGGAGGCAGCAGUGGGGAAUAUUGGACAAUGGGCGCAAGCCUGAUCCAGCCAUGCCGCGUGUGUGAAGAAGGCCUUCGGGUUGUAAAGCACUUUCAGCGAGGAGGAAGGGAUGUAUGUAUAUAGCAUGCAUUUUUGACGUUACUCGCAGAAGAAGCACCGGCUAACUCUGUGCCAGCCGCCGCGGUAAGAC